rnacentral:rRNA from 1 species
UACGGAGGGUGCAAGCGUUAAUCGGAGUUACUGGGCGUAAAGCGCACGCAGGCGGUCAGUUAAGUCGGAUGUGAAAUCCCCGGGCUUAACCCGGGAAUUGCAUUCGAAACUGGUAGGCUAGAGUCUUGUAGAGGGGGGUAGAAUUCCAUGUGUAGCGGUGAAAUGCGUAGAGAUGUGGAGGAAUACCGGUGGCGAAGGCGGCCCCCUGGACAAAGACUGACGCUCAGGUGCGAAAGCGUGGGGAGCAAACAGG